GAAGUGUGAUGUGAUAGCCAGUGGUAUUGUUAAUGCAGCCAAGCAGGUUCAACUGAAAGUACCUGUGAUUGUUCGUCUGGAAGGAACCAACGUCGAACAAGGGAAGAGAAUUCUCAAGGAAAGUGGCAUGAAACUGAUUACCGCUGAGGAUUUAGAUGACGCAGCUGAAAAGGCAGUCAAGGCCUUAGCUUAGUUGAAAGAACAAAAAAGAGAACAAAAUUUGUUAUAAUUUUAAUUUGUGUAAGCCUUUUGAUUGGCUCCCUUUUUGUCUGGGAUAAUCUGAAUGUGCAAUUCUUGAUUUUACAAUAAAACAAUGAGCUACACUUUUUUGUCAACACUUGGAGCAAGCUUGGUGGUGCUUUUUAAUCAUCA
rnacentral:misc_RNA from 1 species